UCCUAGCCCUGAUUGAGCAAUUGUUUGAGCUCUUUUUGUUUUUUUUGUCAUUCUGAGCGGAGUCGAAGAAUCUAAAAAAACAAAAAAGCGAGUUGCGAAAGCAGGACUGAAC
rnacentral:misc_RNA from 1 species